rnacentral:rRNA from 1 species
UCUCUAGAGAUUAGAGUUUGAUCCUGGCUCAGAUUGAACGCUGGCGGCAUGCCUUACACAUGCAAGUCGAACGGCAGCACGGACUUCGGUCUGGUGGCGAGUGGCGAACGGGUGAGUAAUACAUCGGAACGUGUCCUGUAGUGGGGGAUAGCCCGGCGAAAGCCGGAUUAAUACCGCAUACGCUCUACGGAGGAAAGGGGGGGAUCUUAGGACCUCCCGCUACAGGGGCGGCCGAUGGCAGAUUAGCUAGUUGGUGAGGUAAAGGCUCACCAAGGCGACGAUCAGUAGCGGGUCUGAGAGGACGAUCCGCCACACUGGGACUGAGACACGGCCCAGACUCCCACGGGAGGCAGCAGUGGGGAAUUUUGGACAAUGGGCGCAAGCCUGAUCCAGCCAUGCCGCGUGUCUGAAGAAGGCCUUCGGGUUGUAAAGGACUUUUGUCGGGGAGAAAAUCCUGAACCCUAAUACGGUUUGGGGAUGAUAGUACCCGAAGAAUAAGCACCGGCUAACUACGUGCCAGCAGCCGCGGUAAUACGUAGGGUGCAAGCGUUAAUCGGAAUUACUGGGCGUAAAGCGUGCGCAGGCGGUUGGUUAAGCUAGAUGUGAAAUCCCCGAGCUCAACUUGGGAACUGCGUUUAGAACUGGCCAACUAGAGUACGUCAGAGGGGGGUGGAAUUCCACGUGUAGCAGUGAAAUGCGUAGAGAUGUGGAGGAACACCAAUGGCGAAAGCAGCCCCCUGGGAUGAUACUGACGCUCAUGCACGAAAGCGUGGGGAGCAAACAGGAUUAGAUACCCUGGUAGUCCACGCCCUAAACGAUGUCGACUAGUUGUUGGGGGUUGAAAUCCCUGGUAACGCAGCUAACGCGUGAAGUCGACCGCCUGGGGAGUACGGCCGCAAGGUUAAAACUCAAAGGAAUUGACGGGGGCCCGCACAAGCGGUGGAUGAUGUGGAUUAAUUCGAUGCAACGCGAAGAACCUUACCUAGCCUUGACAUGUCUGGAACCCUGCAGAAACGUAGGGGUGCCCGAAAGGGAAUCAGAACACAGGUGCUGCAUGGCUGUCGUCAGCUCGUGUCGUGAGAUGUUGGGUUAAGUCCCGCAACGAGCGCAACCCUUGUCGUUAGUUGCCAUCAUUAAGUUGGGCACUUUAACGAGACUGCCGGUGACAAACCGGAGGAAGGUGGGGAUGACGUCAAGUCCUCAUGGCCCUUAUGGCUAGGGCUUCACACGUCAUACAAUGGUCGGUACAGAGGGUUGCCAAGCCGCGAGGUGGAGCUAAUCUCAUAAAACCGAUCGUAGUCCGGAUUGCAGGCUGCAACUCGCCUGCAUGUAGUCGGAAUCGCUAGUAAUCGCAGGUCAGCAUACUGCGGUGAAUACGUUCCCGGGCCUUGUACGCACCGCCCGUCACACCAUGGGAGUGGGGGAUACCAGAAGUGGGUAGGCUAACCUUCGGGAGGCCGCUUACCACGGUAUGCUUCAUGACUGGGGUGAAGUCGUAACAAGGUAGCCGUAAAUCGUCGACCUGCAGGC